rnacentral:tRNA from 1 species
GGAGAUAUAGUUUAAUGGAAAGAAUACGGUUUUUGUAAAACCGAGGUAUGGUCUUAAUUGUCUCCU